rnacentral:rRNA from 1 species
AACGAACGCUGGCGGCAUGCCUAACACAUGCAAGUCGAACGAGACCUUCGGGUCUAGUGGCGCACGGGUGCGUAACGCGUGGGAACCUGCCCUUAGGUUCGGAAUAACUCCCCGAAAGGGGUGCUAAUACCGGAUAAUGUCUUCGGACCAAAGAUUUAUCGCCUUUGGAUGGGCCCGCGUUGGAUUAGCUAGUUGGUAGGGUAAAAGCCUACCAAGGCGACGAUCCAUAGCUGGUCUGAGAGGAUGAUCAGCCACACUGGGACUGAGACACGGCCCAGACAUAGGAGGGAGGGAGGAGGGGGGAAAUAGGGAAAAAGGGGAAAAGGCUGAACCAAAAAAGGCGGGGGGAGGAUGAAGGCAUUGGGGGUGAAAAAGUCUUUUCCACGGGAAGAAAAAGAAAAGACCGGGAAAAAAAGGCCCGGAAAAACCCCGUC